AGCGGAGUGAUGGUGCUUGCACUAUCACUUAGCGGCGGACGGGUGAGUAAUGCUUAGGAAUCUGCCUAUUAGUGGGGGACAACAUCUCGAAAGGGAUGCUAAUACCGCAUACGUCUACGGGAGAAAGCAGGGGAUCACUUGUGACCUUGCGCUAAUAGAUGAGCUAAGUCGGAUUAGCUAGUUGGUGGGGUAAAGGCCUACCAAGGCGACGAUCUGUAGCGGGUCUGAGAGGAUGAUCCGCCACACUGGGACUGAGACACGGCCCAGACUCCUACGGGAGGCAGCAGUGGGGAAUAUUGGACAAUGGGGGGAACCCUGAUCCAGCCAUGCCGCGUGUGUGAAGAAGGCCUUAUGGUUGUAAAGCACUUUAAGCGAGGAGGAGGCUCUUUUGGUUAAUACCCAAGAUGAGUGGACGUUACUCGCAGAAUAAGCACCGGCUAACUCUGUGCCAGCAGCCGCGGUAAUACAGAGGGUGCAAGCGUUAAUCGGAUUUACUGGGCGUAAAGCGCGCGUAGGCGGCCAAUUAAGUCAAAUGUGAAAUCCCCGAGCUUAACUUGGGAAUUGCAUUCGAUACUGGUUGGCUAGAGUGUGGGAGAGGAUGGUAGAAUUCCAGGUGUAGCGGUGAAAUGCGUAGAGAUCUGGAGGAAUACCGAUGGCGAAGGCAGCCAUCUGGCCUAACACUGACGCUGAGGUGCGAAAGCAUGGGGAGCAAACAGGAUUAGAUACCCUGGUAGUCCAUGCCGUAAACGAUGUCUACUAGCCGUUGGGGCCUUUGAGGCUUUAGUGGCGCAGCUAACGCGAUAAGUAGACCGCCUGGGGAGUACGGUCGCAAGACUAAAACUCAAAUGAAUUGACGGGGGCCCGCACAAGCGGUGGAGCAUGUGGUUUAAUUCGAUGCAACGCGAAGAACCUUACCUGGCCUUGACAUAGUAGAAACUUUCCAGAGAUGGAUUGGUGCCUUCGGGAAUCUACAUACAGGU
rnacentral:rRNA from 1 species